CCUACGGGCGGCAGCAGUGGGGAAUAUUGGACAAUGGGGGGAACCCUGAUCCAGCGACGCCGCGUGAGUGAAGAAGUAUUUCGGUAUGUAAAGCUCUAUCAGCAGGGAAGAAAGAAAUGACGGUACCUGACUAAGAAGCCCCGGCUAACUACGUGCCAGCAGCCGCGGUAAUACGGAGGGGGCAAGCGUUCUCCGGAUUUACUGGGUGUAAAGGGAGCGUGGACGGUUACGCAAGUCUGGAGUGAAAGGCGGGGGCCCAACCCCCGGACUGCUUUGGAAACUGUAUAACUGGAGUGCAGGGGAGGUAAGUGGAAUUCCUAGUGUAGCGGUGAAAUGCGUAGAUAUUAGGAGGAACACCAGUGGCGAAGGCGGCUUACUGGACUGUAACUGACGUUGAGGCUCGAAAGCGUGGGGAGCAAACAGGAUUAGAUACCCCUGUAGUC
rnacentral:rRNA from 1 species